CGUGGGCCUCCGGCGGCCAUGCCCACGCCUCCCGCCUCCUGUUGGCAGCCGCCUCGCGGCUCAUGGCUGCGGCUGCCCUGGCUCCAAUCAAGGGUGGAUUUGCUGGAGGCUGCCUCUUGCAGAGCAGUCAGCAGCCUCCGCGCCUCCACUCGCAGUCCUCUCGCAGGACUCUGCUGUCACACGCACUGGCAAGGUCUCAGUGGCUCGUGCUCCCACAGGAAGACGUUCGCACCUCGAGAGUCGCCAGCAAGACUCAGCGCGGGCUGGGCCCGCUGGGGAUGGGUAGGAACGCGGCCCACUGUGAGGUCACGGGGUGACUGUGACUCUCCGGUGCCAUCACGAAGCACACAGAUAGGUGGAGGUUUGCUGCCCCGUGGCUAUUGCGUCAGUAUUUGGGGCAUUUGCCUGCCAGAGCGCACCCAAGGACUUUCAGUGGGCCAUUUUCCCAAGCAGUGACAAAUAAAGGAUUUCUUGAAGCAAGCAGUAGAGCAGCUUUGGUGUUGCCGUUGAUCAGUGCAGUAGCUGUGACCGUGCCGGCAUUUGAUAGUAGUGCUAGCAAAGUAAAUGCUGUGCUGGGUAUUUUUCAGCAAGCAGUGAAGGGGCAGUGCUUGCCAAGAAGGGAUCCCCGUCCUGGUCCUGGUGGGGAAAGAGCAGCACAGCUUCUCCGUUUCUCUUGCCUCCUUCGUGUCUCUUCCCGCCCCUCCUCUG
ensembl:lncRNA